GACGAACCGUGCGAACGUUAUUCGGAAUCACUGGGCUUAAAGGGCGCGUAGGCGGGCGGCCAAGUCAGAGGUGAAAGCCCCCAGCUCAACUGGGGAAGUGCCUUUGAUACGUGUCGUCUCGAGGGAGAUAGGGGCGUGCGGAACUUCCGGUGGAGCGGUGAAAUGCGUAGAUAUCGGAAGGAACACCGGUGGCGAAAGCGGCGCGCUGGAUCUCUUCUGACGCUGAGGCGCGAAAGCCAGGGGAA
rnacentral:rRNA from 1 species